UACGUAGGGUGCUAACGUUGUUCGGAAUCACUGGGCAUAAAGAGCGCGUAGGCGGUCUGAUAAGUCAGGUGUGAAAUCCCCCGGCUCAACCGGGGAACUGCACCUGAUACUGUCGGGCUUGAGUGCAGGAGGGGAGAGCGGAAUUCCUGGUGGAGCGGUGAAAUGCGUAGAUAUCAGGAGGAACGCCGGUGGCGAAAGCGACUCUCUGGUCUGUUACUGACGCUGAGGCGCGAAAGCUAGGGGAGCAAACGGG
rnacentral:rRNA from 2 species